rnacentral:rRNA from 1 species
UACGUAGGGUGCGAGCGUUGUCCGGAAUUACUGGGCGUAAAGAGCUCGUAGGUGGUUUGUCGCGUUGUUCGUGAAAACCGGGGGCUUAACCCUCGGCGUGCGGGCGAUACGGGCAGACUGGAGUACUGCAGGGGAGACUGGAAUUCCUGGUGUAGCGGUGGAAUGCGCAGAUAUCAGGAGGAACACCGGUGGCGAAGGCGGGUCUCUGGGCAGUAACUGACGCUGAGGAGCGAAAGCGUAGGGAGCGAACAGG